UGGGCAUGAGGUAUGCUGUAGAUAUGCCCAUAAAAAUAUUUCCACUGGUUUUCUAUCUACUACCUUGCUAGCAAUCAAUCUGUUGGGAACAGUA
rnacentral:snoRNA from 1 species